rnacentral:rRNA from 1 species
GGUUUUCGGACCAAGAGACCGGCGCACGGGUGCGUAACGCGUAUGCAAUCUACCUUUCACAGAGGGAUAGCCCAGAGAAAUUUGGAUUAAUACCUCAUAGUAUAGCUGAACCGCAUGGUUCUACUAUUAAAGUCACAACGGUGAAAGAUGAGCAUGCGUCCCAUUAGCUAGUUGGUAUGGUAACGGCAUACCAAGGCUACGAUGGGUAGGGGUCCUGAGAGGGAGAUCCCCCACACUGGUACUGAGACACGGACCAGACUCCUACGGGAGGCAGCAGUGAGGAAUAUUGGUCAAUGGACGCAAGUCUGAACCAGCCAUGCCGCGUGCAGGAUGACGCUCCUAUGGAUUGUAAACUGCUUUUGUACGAGAAGAAACAACAUUACGUGUAAUGUCUUGACGGUAUCGUAAGAAUAAGGAUCGGCUAACUCCGUGCCAGCAGCCGCGGUAAUACGGAGGAUCCAAGCGUUAUCCGGAAUCAUUGGGUUUAAAGGGUCCGUAGGCGGUUUAGUAAGUCAGUGGUGAAAGCCCAUCGCUCAACGGUGGAACGGCCAUUGAUACUGCUAGACUUGAAUUAUUAGGAAGUAACUAGAAUAUGUAGUGUAGCGGUGAAAUGCUUAGAGAUUACAUGGAAUACCAAUUGCGAAGGCAGGUUACUACUAAUGGAUUGACGCUGAUGGGCG